AAAUUGAAGAGUUUGAUCAUGGCUCAGAUUGAACGCUGGCGGCAGGCCUAACACAUGCAAGUCGAACGGUAACAGGAAACAGCUUGCUGUUUCGCUGACGAGUGGCGGACGGGUGAGUAAUGUCUGGGAAACUGCCUGAUGGAGGGGGAUAACUACUGGAAACGGUAGCUAAUACCGCAUAACGUCGCAAGACCAAAGAGGGGGACCUUCGGGCCUCUUGCCAUCGGAUGUGCCCAGAUGGGAUUAGCUAGUAGGUGGGGUAACGGCUCACCUAGGCGACGAUCCCUAGCUGGUCUGAGAGGA
rnacentral:rRNA from 1 species